rnacentral:rRNA from 1 species
AGCCUGACGCAGCCAUGCCGCGUGAAUGAUGAAGGUCUUAGGAUUGUAAAAUUCUUUCACCGGGGACGAUAAUGACGGUACCCGGAGAAGAAGCCCCGGCUAACUUCGUGCCAGCAGCCGCGGUAAUACGAAGGGGGCUAGCGUUGCUCGGAAUUACUGGGCGUAAAGGGAGCGUAGGCGGACUGUUUAGUCAGAGGUGAAAGCCCAGGGCUCAACCUUGGAAUUGCCUUUGAUACUGGCAGUCUUGAGUACGGAAGAGGUAUGUGGAACUCCGAGUGUAGAGGUGAAAUUCGUAGAUAUUCGGAAGAACACCAGUGGCGAAGGCGACAUACUGGUCCGUUACUGACGCUGAGGCUCGAAAGCGUGGGGAGCAAACAGGAUUAGAUACCCUGGUAGUCCACGCCGUAAACGAUGAGUGCUAGUUGUCGGCAUGCAUGCAUGUCGGUGACGCAGCUAACGCAUUAAGCACUCCGCCUGGGGAGUACGGUCGCAAGAUUAAAACUCAA